CCCAUGCGCCUCCCACUUUGAUGCCAUCUUUCUCCAUGCUGAAAUAGUUUUUGUAUGAGAAUUUUUCAUGCCAAUGAGUCCUUUCUCUUCUCUAUCUCAUGUCCAAAUUUGGGUAGGAUCAGAUUUUAAAUGGUAUAUUUAAAUUUAAUUUGAAAUAGGAUACCAUAUAGAUAAUGUUUGACAUUAUCUCUAAGAUCUUGCCACCAACUUAUUUUUUUUCUCC
rnacentral:lncRNA from 1 species